UGAGUUGUUACUUUUGCUUUUUUGUUGAAUUUUUGGUAACCUUGUGGAGUUUGCUUUGGGGCAAUGACAAGAUCCCACACUCUGGAAUAUAAAUAAGACCUGGAAACUUAUGUGUUUGAGACCAUGUAUCAUCGUAGACUGUAGCUCGACUGUAUAGCAUGCCAUCGUCAAUUCUGUGGGUGUGAUGGGUGGAUUUGUGAAAUAAAUCACCAAUCCCUCGAUGUGGCAGGGGGAUCAAUUCUUAGUUCGAGGGACAUGCCUAUUUAGGGGAGUUAGGCUCUUAGAUAGAAAUGGAAAUGAAUUACCCUUGCUUGGUUGGAAGAGUCACAUUUUCAUUUCUAUUCCAAAAAAGAAUGUGAAUGCCCCGAUCUUCUAAAAUUUAAUUCCAACUUUCUCCUUACAUUU
rnacentral:lncRNA from 1 species